ensembl:lncRNA
UGUAUUUUUAAUCAAAUAAAUGUAACCUUGAUGAGCAUAAGACACUCUUGUAAAAAACAUAAAAAAAUCGUUCUGAUACCAAACAUUUGACCGGUAGUGUAUAUAUACAUAAAAGGUGCGAGGUGACACUGGCUGUAGUACCGCAGAUCUCGCCACAUGGGUGCGCUGUUGUACUUUCUGCCGCGCCACAGUACAUUCUCUCUCUGCUCUCUCUCUGCUCUGCUCUUGUUUAGUGUGUGCCACACGCCCUCACAGUUUCUGUCACACACUCAGACAACGUGAGUUCAGAAUCCGGUUGUCUUAAGUUAAACGCACUAAGAAACACCUGAACGAACAGAGACGGGCUGCUGUCCGGUAUCUGACUCGGGUCUCACUCUGAGCACAUCAUUGGUUCCGGUGACAUCCGUUACCAUACCGCACUGAUGACAUCUUAUUUAAUCACGCAGCAGACGACAAGACAAGAAACCUGUGCUAUCAGAAAAUAAGAAACCAGAAAUGUCUUCUCACCACGAAGAUGUCCAAGCAAGCAGCUAGCCAGGGUUUAGAGGACCAUGGGGAAUGUGAGUCUGCAGAUAAAACGACGGGGAACAGAGUCCGAAACAUGAGAUGGCAGGCCCACGUGGCAAUGUGGUGGAGAGAAAAAAAAAGGCGAGUGUUUGUGCACUUUAACAUCUGAAAUUAAUGGAUGAAGAAUAGCCUUGUUAGAAUGAUGUAGGGUGGGAUGUGUUAGAUGUGGGUGUUGAUGACAAGCUGUUAAAGAUGCCUUAUGAGAG